rnacentral:lncRNA from 1 species
ACUUAUAUAGACUAGGGAACACUGCAUUAUAGAUCCUUUUGAGACUGAUCUCAGGCCGAUCAUAGUGCUUGUGUUGGAUUUGACUGGAUUUGAUCCCUUAGCCUAGUAAGAAAGCGAAGGCAUAUACAGGAUCACAAGGGGAGUGUGUGAGGAUCGGUACAAGCGUGUGUUUAGUCCUAUACUGGCUAUGUAUUAGGUAGAUCUUGAGUACUUAUACAUGAUCAAUCAACCCAUAUAAUACCUUUGGCUAGCCUAUUUGGGUAGGAUCCAAGUUUGUUACAAAUGGUACCGGAGUGGAGAUAGCCCAUGAAGACUAGAGGACUCUACAAUAUAGGGCCAUUGGGGGCUGAACACGGCCGGAAACUUUUUGUUUAGCUUUUCAGAUGAGGUCUUGAAUCUUCAUAGAUUAUGAGCACAUCUAGUUAUUAGCAUUAAUGUUCAAUAGUGACUAAUAUCAAGUGAACAAGAAUGAUGCACUAUUCAGGUACAUUGUAUUAUCCUAAAUUUCUCAAUUAUAUUGGAAGCCAUCAGCUUAAGAUCACAAGUUAUUAGAGUUUAUCAUCCUAGGGAAAGAACACAGACUUGAAUGGUGAUGAUGGGUGGUAUAAUUUAUU